UUUGGUUUUCUCUCAUACCCCAAAUGGGCUGAUGUCCUGCUCAACAAUGAGUCAUGGUCACGGCAAUGACAACGAAAUUGAAAGAAUUCAUGGCACAAACAAAUGCCAUCAGAGGAAUUCCAAGAAGUAAUCACUGAUUCACGAUUUAGACGGUGUGUUGCACAAGCAGUAGCGGCAAACAGGAGGUGGUAGGAUACAUACACCGGUACACCGCAAGGACUACACGCGCAAGACAUGGAGUCUCCGCAAAUCUAACUGCAGAGUUGGCAAAACGCAAUACAGAAACCAGAUAUGACGAUUCAUUGGUAUAAAUAAUCUUGUGCAUCAUUUGCAACGAGCGUAUUUUAAGGUACGAGUCAAAUAAGUCACCAUGUACUUGUCUGACAAAGUCUGAUACCCGGUCUCUUCUACGCAAACCAAAAAUGUAUCCAACGACAUCGCUAAAGGCUACGUGCAAUUUUUCCUAUGAGUUAUAUCACAACCGUAAAAUACCUCGCAAGACUAUAAUAGUUUCGACAGAAUAAAUGUCCUAGCCAAAGUUCUUAUGGACAAAGAGGUGUACUGUCGACUCAUAUAUAAGUUCCGUAAAACGCCAUAGGUCCUGCCUUCUGUCGUACUGACAUGAGUCUUCCACGAAAGCCUAUCAUCAAACUCCAACCCAAGCUUUCGUGCAGAUGAAACAAUCUCUAUUGGGGCUCCAGCAAUUUCCACAUCAAGAUUGGGCGGCAUUGUCACCCGAUUCCUACCAAUCACAAGACACUUUGACUUUGUUGGAUUUAAAAGUAGUCCGUUGGCGUUUGGCCAUGUGCCAUGCUCAUGCUCAUAUACAGCUGUACGUCGUCGGCAUACAUAUGAAUACCACAGUUCCGCAACUGUCCAGGAAGGUCAUUGCUAUAUAAGGAAAAAAGGUGUGGACCCAAUACAGACCCCUGCGGAACACCUCUUGAGACUGGAAGAUAACAAGAAUACCGGCUAUCAGCACAUACCGAUUAGUUUCUAUUCGAAAUAUAGGAAAAUAUAUGUUCCGUUGUGCUUUUAGAAAAUUUAAAUAACCCAGCAAAAACUUGAUUUACUAGCUGCUAAAAUAUAACGAGUAAUCAACAGGAAUACUAUCUGUGUUACCGGUAGUACAAAUGUCAUCACAUGAGGCUUGAGAAUACGCAUUUGUACUAAUAGAAACAAAAUCAUUAUUAUAACCAUGGAUUGAUAAAUAUGCCAUUGAGAAACUGCGGGCACAAUUAUCUCAUACCUAUGAGUGCUGUCCGUCAAAAGGUUAAGCUCAAUGAUAAGGGACCUCCAUUUAUUAGCGUGUCCGAAUGGCUUGCCGCAAAGCGACACCACUUAGUAGCACUAGGAGGGAAAUACUGCGGCGUUAUAAAUAUAAAAAAUAUUUUGGUGGUCCGAGGUUCGAACUCAGGAAUUUUGUAUUGUAAAUCUUCUGAUGUACGCUCUGUGCCACAAAACUAAUAAAAUUACUCCCAUGUGUUAGAAUAUUUUGUCCAUAAGUAGAAUAUGUCAAACAUAAACGCAAAG
rnacentral:sRNA from 1 species